rnacentral:lncRNA from 1 species
CUUGAGCUAGUGCCAGUGGUAUAGGUGAUGAGGUGUGGCCAGACACAGGAUAUAGUCUGAAUAUGAGGGGUGAAAGAAACUAGAAUGUGGAACCAGCUCUUUGUUUUUUGUUUGAGCGAUGUGUAUAUGGUGGUGCCCUUUACUGCAACGGGAAGGACUAAGAUGGGGAGAGGAUGGGUUUUGUAAGGGGAUUAAGCUUUUGUUUCAGAUGUAUAAAGUGAGAGUGAAGACAUAGGCCUUUCUUCCCUGGGUCACCUCUCAGAAUAAGGAAGCAUUCUACCAGCCAGAGGGCAGCCAAGCUCUGCAGCUUUAGGCACUCUUUUCAGAGUCAACCUCCUUCUUAUGAGUCCCUGAAUUUAGAGUAGGGAACUUUUCCCAAUGAAGUUGCUCUGAGUACCACUUCAAGUUAUGGCCCAAGAAUGACUGUGGAGAAAAAGUAGAGCACUGCCCUCAGAGCCAAAUAACUGACUACUCGGGUGAAAACAGCUUAAGAAGGUACAAGUUGAGAUGCUUUUAUCUAGAAAAUAAAAAUCUAGGACUUGUCUUGGGAGUUCUCUUGGAGACCAAAGCUUGCCGAUGACAAAGCUCUGGCUAUCAUGAACAUAACCCAGCCAGGACUGUCACAGGAAGUUCAGCAGUUUUAGCAGUUGUGCUCCAACACACAGCUCCUAGGUCCAGGAGAAAUCACUUUUCUAUUUGGUCCUGGACUCCUAACCUGGCACCCCAUGCCUGAGCAUUUCGUUUUUGUUUAGAGUACAUGGGCUACAGUUGCAGCACAUAGAGGGAGUAGCAAGCCCUUAUCCCUGUGCUGUCUGGUGCAGGGAAUGCACACCAUCAGUGACAUCCAACAGUGCACAGAUGAAAGGAG